rnacentral:rRNA from 1 species
GAUGAACGCUGGCGGCGUGCUUAAUACAUGCAAGUCGAACGGAGACGUUAUAGCAAUAUGAUGUCUUAGUGGCGAACGGGUGAGUAACGCGUUGGUGACCUGCCCCGAAGCGGGGGAUAACAGCUCGAAAGGGCUGCUAAUACCCCAUGUGGUCGCAAAGGUUAGAGGCUUUGCGAUUAAAGGAGUAAUCCACUUUGGGAGGGGCCUGCGUCCCAUCAGCUAGUUGGUAGGGUAAAAGCCUACCAAGGCGACGACGGGUAGGGGGCCUGAGAGGGUGACCCCCCACACUGGCACUGAAACACGGGCCAGACACCUACGGGUGGCAGCAGUAGGGAAUAUUGCACAAUGGGCGAAAGCCUGAUGCAGCAACGCCGCGUGCGCGAUGAAGGCCUUCGGGUCGUAAAGCGCUCUUCGGGGAGAUGAGGAAGGACAGUAUCCCCGGAAUAAGGUUCGGCUAACUACGUGCCAGCCGCCGCAGUAAUAC